CCUACGGGAGGCAGCAGUGAGGAAUAUUGGUCAAUGGUCGGAAGACUGAACCAGCCAAGCCGCGUGAGGGAUGAAGGUACAGAGUAUCGUAAACCUCUUUUGCCGGGGGACAAAAGCGGGGACUUGUCCCCGGAUGAGUGUACCUGAAGAAAAAGCAUCGGCUAACUCCGUGCCAGCAGCCGCGGUACUACGGAGGAUGCGGGGGUUAUCCGGAUUAAUUGGGUUUAAAGGGUGCGCAGGCGGGCUGUUAAGUCAGCGGUAAAACCCCGGGGUUAAACCCCGGCCCGCCGUUGAAACUGGCAGGCUAGAGUGGGAGAGAGGUAUGCGGAAUGCGCGGUGUAGCGGUGAAAUGCAUAGAUAUCGCGAAGAACCCCGAUUGCGAAGGCAGCAUGCCGGAUCAACACUGACGCUGAGGGACGAAAGCGUGGGUAUCGAACAGGAUUAGAUACCCGAGUAGUC
rnacentral:rRNA from 1 species